rnacentral:lncRNA from 1 species
GUUUUGCUAGAAGAUUUUUUCUUUCUCAUUAGAUCAUCUUAUUUUCCCUAGACCUGUCCUAGUGAAAGUGACAUCUCAGAUGAUCUUUAAACUUACACAUUCUGAGGCCAUCACAUGGAGUUAUCAGAUGUAGCAAAUAAAAAUACAGGAAGCUAAGGUAAGUUUGAAUUUAGAAACAAAUUUUUUGAAUGUCAAAUAAUUAUACUAAAGUGAUUUGUUGAUUUGUUGUUUAUUUUCAAUUCAUUUCUAAUAGGUGUAUUUUAUUUGGCAGGCCUGCACAUGGGUAACAUAUAGGGUGGAACCAAGGUACUCCUGUCAACAGCCCCAACUGACCUCCCACGAAAUGACAUCAGCACUCAUGAUCCGUGGAAGUGAGCUCUCUUGGGUAUUCCAGAUGAGUAGAGCUCCAGAUGACAGAGAUGACAACACCGUGGGGAGAGUUAGCCUUAAAUGACAGAUACCACAUAGAGAAAAAAAUACCCAGAUAUCCUUAUCAAUACACAGACUCCAGAAUGAUAAUAAAUGGGUAUUGCUUGAGAGUUUUAAGCAAAAAUGGAAAUCACAAUCCUGUGGUCUAACGUGUAGUCUUUCUUUUUUGUGUGUGGUUUGCUAUCAUUGCACAAUAUAGGAAUUCUCUUAUCCCUGAAACUUCUUGGCUAUA